rnacentral:rRNA from 1 species
AUACGUAGGGGGCGAGCGUUGUCCGGAAUUACUGGGCGUAAAGGGCGUGUAGGCGGAGCGGCAAGUCAGAAGUGAAAUCUCUGGGCUCAACCCGGAAACUGCUUUUGAAACUGUCGCCCUUGAGUAUCGGAGAGGCAGGCGGAAUUCCUAGUGUAGCGGUGAAAUGCGUAGAUAUUAGGAGGAACACCAGUGGCGAAGGCGGCCUGCUGGACGACAACUGACGCUGAGGCGCGAAAGCGUGGGGAGCAAACAGGAUUAGAUACCCUGGUAGUCCACGUCGUAAACGAUGGAUACUAGGUGUGGGGGGACUGACCCCCUCCGUGCCGCAGUAAACACAAUAAGUAUCCCACCUGGGGAGUACGACCGCAAGGUUGAAACUUAAAGGAAUUGACGGGG